UCGCCAGACUCCUACGGGAGGCAGCAGUGAGGAAUAUUGGUCAAUGGACGAGAGUCUGAACCAGCCAAGUAGCGUGAAGGAUGACUGCCCUAUGGGUUGUAAACUUCUUUUAUAUGGGAAUAAAAUGUUCCACGUGUGGGAUUUUGUAUGUACCAUAUGAAUAAGGAUCGGCUAACUCCGUGCCAGCAGCCGCGGUAAUACGGAGGAUGCGAGCGUUAUCCGGAUUUAUUGGGUUUAAAGGGUGCGUAGGCGGGCUGUUAAGUCAGCGGUCAAAUGUCGGGGCUCAACCCCGGCCUGCCGUCGGAACUGCCGGGCUAGAGUGGGCGAGAAGUGCGCGGAAUGCGUGGUGUAGCGGUGAAAUGCAUAGAUAUCACGCAGAACUCCGAUUGCGAAGGCAGCGCACCGGCGCCCUACUGACGCUCAGGCACGAAAGCGUGGGUAUCGAACAGGAUUAGAUACCCCCGUAC
rnacentral:rRNA from 1 species